rnacentral:rRNA from 1 species
UACGUAGGGUGCAAGCGUUGUCCGGAAUUAUUGGGCGUAAAGAGCUCGUAGGCGGUUUGUCGCGUCUGCUGUGAAAACUCGGGGCUUAACUCCGGGCUUGCAGUGGGUACGGGCAGACUAGAGUGCGGUAGGGGAGACUGGAAUUCCUGGUGUAGCGGUGAAAUGCGCAGAUAUCAGGAGGAACACCGGUGGCGAAGGCGGGUCUCUGGGCCGUAACUGACGCUGAGGAGCGAAAGCAUGGGUAGCGAACAGG